UGCUUCCCUUCAGUUUAGGAUAUGACUGUCUAGUACUUGGCCACCACGUAAUCUUCAUAUCUAGACCAGCAUCGGUCUAUCUUCCAUAUGAGAAACUGAGGACAUGGCUGUCUAGUACUCGGCCCCCAUGUAAUCAAUCUAGACUACCAUCAGCCCAUUUUGCACUUGAGAAAAACUGAGAACUGGGCAACCAUGCAAUAUUUCUACCUGGAGCAGCAUCGACCCAUUUUCCUGAUGAGAAACUGUGAAUUUCCCAUCUGGCAUGAACACGGCUGUCUAGGACUUGGUCCCCAUGUAAUCUUCCAAUCUAGAACAGCAUCAGCCCAUUUUUCUGAUGAGAAACUUUGUUUAGGAUGUGGCUCUCUAGAAUUUGGCAACCAUGUAAUCUUCCAAUCUGGAGCAGCACUGAUCCAUUUUCCUGAUGAGAAACUGAGUUUAGGAUGUGGCUCUCUAGAACUUGGCAACCAUGUAAUCUUCCAAUCUGGAGCAGCACCGACCCAUUUUCCUGAUGAGAAACUGUGGUGAGUAUCGUUUAUAUCGCGAACAACAGAGCUAUGAAUAUUGAUACAACUUUGGUGAUGUUUCCAUUGUAUUUCCCAUGUGGCCUGAACAUUGCUAUCUAGAACACAGCCCCCAUGUAAUCUUUCAGAGCUAGACCCCUAUCAGCCCAUUUUCCAGAUUAGAACCCUGAGUCCAGGAUUUUGUAGUUAGUGAACAAAUUGGCUGUGUUUCUGGAUGUGAUGUUGAUGUUUCCAAUAUACUUCUCUUCAGUUUAGGACAUGGCUGUGUAGUACUCGGCCUCCAUAUAAUCUCAUCUAUCUAGACCACCAUCAGCCCAUUUUCCAGAUUAGAAACCGGAUGCCACUAUCUUGUAGUUAGUGAACAAAUGAGCCUUGCUUCUGUAUCUUAUGUUGAUAUUUCUAAGGUACUUCUCUUUAGUUUAGGACAUGGCAGUGUAGUACUCGGCCCCCAUAUAAUCUCAUCUAUCUAUACCACCAUCAGCCCAUUUUCCAGAUUAGAAACCGGAGGCCAGUAUCUUGUAGUUAGUGAACAAAUUGGCUGUGCUUCUGGAUCUGAUGUUGAUAUUUCCAAUAUACUUCUCUUCAGUUUAGGACAUGGCUGUGUAGUACUCGGACCCC
rnacentral:lncRNA from 1 species